rnacentral:rRNA from 1 species
UACGGAAGGUGCAAGCGUUGUUCGGAAUGACUGGGCGUAAAGGGCGCGUAGGUGGGCUCGUAAGUCGAUUGUGAAAGCCCUGGGCUUAACCCAGGAUGUGCAGUCGAAACUGUGAGUCUUGAAUACCUCAGGGGUUGGUGGAAUUCCAGGUGUAGGAGUGAAAUCCGUAGAUAUCUGGAGGAACAUCGGAGGCGAAGGCGGCCAACUGGGAGUGUAUUGACGCUGAGACGCGAAAGCGUGGGGAGCAAACAGG